rnacentral:rRNA from 1 species
GACGAACGCUGGCGGCGUGCUUAACACAUGCAAGUCGAACGAAGAGCGAUGGAAGCUUGCUUCUAUCAAUUUUAGUGGCGAACGGGUGAGUAACGCGUAAUCAACCUGCCCUUCAGAGGGGGACAACAGUUGGAAACGACUGCUAAUACCGCAUACGAUCUGACCUCGGCAUCGAGGAUGGAUGAAAGGUGGCCUCUAUUUAUAAGCUAUCACUGAAGGAGGGGAUUGCGUCUGAUUAGCUAGUUGGAGGGGUAACGGCCCACCAAGGCGAUGAUCAGUAGCCGGUCUGAGAGGAUGAACGGCCACAUUGGGACUGAGACACGGCCCAGACUCCUACGGGAGGCAGCAGUGGGGAAUCUUCCGCAAUGGACGAAAGUCUGACGGAGCAACGCCGCGUGAGUGAUGACGGCCUUCGGGUUGUAAAGCUCUGUUAAUCGGGACGAAAGGCCUUCUUGCGAAUAGUUAGAAGG